GGCGCCCGCGUGGGGUCGGCCGCGGCCGGGCAGAGUUGGCGCGCCAGGGCGUGGAAGCCGCCGGAGGAUCCCGCCUGUCGCAGCGGGGACGCGUGUGGGCCCCUGCUCCCAGGCCACUUCGCGCGCGCGCCCCCCACAUCCUCCUCGGGACACUUGUCCCUGGAUCCUCUACCCCUGGCCGGCCCGAGGCCGCCUUCUCGGGAAGCCCCACCAGCCCCCAAGGGUGUUUUCCCUUGGCUACCUGCGCUGCGAGGAGAGAAGGGAAUUCAGAGAAGGGGUACAAGGGGGGCGUCCCUGGGAGGGGGCGCGACUGGAGGAGACAGAACGGGGAGCGGGUGCCAAAGCGCGGGCCUUUGCUCCGCCUGGGCGCAGUGGGAGCACCAACUGGCAGAGUUGGAAACUUUUCCUCCACGUGGCACCACAGUGCGUGGACGAGCGACCCCGCGCCCGGAUGACCCCUGGGAUUCCCGCCUCGUCUUCCAGCGGGGGACCUAGGGACGCACGGGCGGCUUCAGAUCCGGGAGCGCGAGGCCUAACAGCCGGGGGCCGAACUUGAACCUCGGAGGCGGCCGCGGGCGAGGGGCGGGGCCGAAGGGGCCGGGACCGCCGCCCCAGCUCGAGGACCCGUUAGACCGGCAAACCGCAGUCCCUGCCCCGCGGGCUUCCUUUACUUUUUGGGAGUGGGGGGCGGUUUCCCUGCUUUUUCCACCACAGCCCCUCCUCCCGCCGCAAUGUGGCUGAUGCUCAUAAAAAGUUGUAUUAAAGAGCUGACUGCAGCCGAGAAUCGAUCAACAAAAGCGACCAGCCUCUCUGGGUAAAAUAGCUGUGCGUUUUUCAGGGCACUGGAAUUGAUCUAUACGGAUCAGAAAGACCGACAGCCCGCUCUCAGCAGCCUCUUGGAUACGCUUCACUUUCUGUCCAGGCACAUAAACACCACGGCACCAACCCUUCGUCCUCCCUAGUAGCCCAUACUUGUGGAGGAAGAAAAGGAAAAUAAACUGGUCACACUCCUUCAGCUUCCCCGUUUCUGAAUCCCAGGUCUAUCCACGGCCUUCUCAACAGAUGACUUCAAGUUGAUUUCGUGCUUUAUUUCUUAAGAAUAGUGACUAACCUAAGGGAUCUGAUUCAAUUUAUUAGGAACACAGUGCCACCUUCCAAAAUUACUUACCUAAGAGGACUGAGCCUGCUGUCCCUGGAGCAGUUAGCUAAAACAGUGCCUCAGUACGGAGCGUACCUGUGUUAACUUCUAGAGUGCUGUUUCCGGCAGCUGCUGAAAUCCACGCUGAGGUUAUCAAGCUCAUCCUACAAAAUAAAGCAAGUUCUUCGCAAUUUAAAGCAAAAAUCUGGGCUUAUUUUUAGGGUUUUGGGGGAUGUGAAAGUUGUCUUAGAUAAGAUUCCAGGAAAGCUAAGAACUAACGAUGCAAUUACAGUCACCUUUCAACAACUUUGGGGAUUGGGUUGAGGAAGGUGUGAAAUUGGGAAAUAUAAUAAAAGGUAUUAUAUUAGUGACUUUCUAGAGUAGCCCUUGGCAGUCCUGUCUUUAAAGAGUAAUAACUGGAAAAAAAAAUGAAUGAUAAUACACUGCAUCCAAGAACCUUGCCUCUGGUGAGGGUAAUUUGCAAACGCAUUUUGGGAUAAUGUUCAGCAUUCAAUAUAAUCUUCCCUGGAAUUAGCAAUGCCUUUUGGGUCAGAGUUUCUUAGGUUUCUUCAGUCAUACAAUUAAAAUUGUUUCUGGAUUAUAUUGCCCAUAUUUGUUUCUAAUUCUCCAUUUUGCCUGUGUUUUAACUGCUAGCGAUUAAUAACUGCCAUAUAAUAAGCUAAGCAUUUAUUAUGUUUCAGGCACUGUUCUAACUGCAUUAAAAUAAUAUCUCAUUUAAUUCUCAUAAAUUUUGAGAAAAGUUUUAUUAUUCCUAUUUUACAGUUGAGUAAACUGAGGCUUAAAGUUAAGCAUAUUGUCCAAGGUGCCUCCACUCCUUAGUCAUAAGCUAAAUUUGAUCUGAGUGACUCCAAAACCUGUUCUCUUAAUGGUUAUGCUGAAAUGCCCUUCUUAGAAUGAUUCCUCAGGAAGUCAAAUGCUAGGUAUAUAGUACAACCACUUUGGAAAACUGGCAAUAUCUGUUAAAGUUAAACAUAUGAAAACCCUAUGGCCCAGCAGUUCCACGCUUAGGAAUAUACCAAUGUCCCAUGUGUGCCAAAAGACUAUUAAAUCACUCAGAGCAACCCUAUUCAUAAAUAACCCCCAACCAGGAAACAACCCAAAUGGUCAUAAACAGUAAAAUAGAUAAAUAAUUGGUGGUAUAUUCAUACAACAGAGUACAUUCUACCACACUAAGAAUGAACAAUCUGCUUCCAAAUGCAGUAAAAUAUAUGAACCUUACAAAUGUGCUAAGUGAAAAAAGGGAGAUGUACAAUUGCGGGACUCCAUUUAUGUGAAGUACAGAAACAGACAAAAGUCAUUGAUGCUAUUCAAAGUCAGGAUAGUGGUUACCCUUGAGAGAGAGCUGAUGACUAGGAGAGAACACCAAUCGGCUUCUGGGGAGCUGGUAGUGUUGUUUCUUGAGCUGGGUACUGGUGUGUUCAGUUUGUGAAAAUUCAUUGAGCUGUACUAUUGAUAUAUGCAUCUCUGUGUAUGUAAAUUAUGCUUCAAUAAAAAGCUUUAAAAUGCUGUGUAUAUAUAAAUGCAUAUGAGUAUUGCUUGUGUACAUAUGAGUACCUAUAUAAUACUUCGUUUUUU
rnacentral:lncRNA from 10 species